UAAAUACUCAACUUUAAUUGAAAUAUCAGGGUCCAGAAUAGUACACAAAAAUGAAACACAUUCAAGGGGGCAAAAACUUCUAAUCUUUCAUCUGAUUACAAGAAUAUUGACAAACCUGAACAAGAAGAUAUCACACUAGAGCUGCAGAUUACUACUAUUGACUGCAAACAAGAUGGGGAAAAAAAAAAGGGCAAAGUAAAUGCUGACAAGCUAUCUAUACAACCACAAAACCACAGCUUAAACUGUUCUGCCAAAAAGUUAGUUCAACUUUGAUAGCUAGAACCUCCUGCCGAUUCCUAAGCAGACUUGCGUCAUAACGUAUGUUAGAAGCACACCAAAAUAUCACCUGUUGUCCUUUGGAGAGAUCUCUAUCUUGCCACUUUCAGAAAGCAGAGAAUAGAGGCAUUGGCAUGCUUGUUAGAAAAUAGGAGAACUGUAAAAGUAUGCAGAGGACAGCAAGCCUAUGCAGAAUUGCUUCUUACAGCUGUCUAUGGGGUUGUCUGCGAAUGUUAUUGCGUGCCUCGCAUUAACCCACUCCGUGCUACACUCCUGUAGAUAUAUACAUAUUAUUUGAAGUUAAAAAUAAAUAAAAUUGAAUAAUAGGCACAGCGAAGUUCUACAUUCCAGCACUUCUCCUAGCACUUACUGCAAGGGUGAGUGAACAGUAACUGGAGAGAGAGAGAGAAAGGAAGCCAAAAUAGAGGGUUUUUAGAAAGGGAAAGCAUAAAAAUCUUUGAGAAAGUUAGUUUGCUAGAUAGUGAAUUCCGCUAUGAUCAGGAACUGCAGCAUCUAUCCCUUGUGGCUGCACCUGUGCAUUGCCUAGAAACCUCUUUUUUUUAAUAAGUUGAGGUAUUUUAUUGAUGUUAAGUACCAAGAAGGUGCCACAGAAAGUACAAAAGGAAGACAACUAGUCCACAUAUACUGUUACAGCAUCAUCUUUUCCAAAAAUUCCAAAAGAAAAAACAGGGAAUUCCAGCAUAUCACUCCUACACCAUGAAUAUAAAGACUGUAAGCAAUCUAUAUUCUACAAGAGAAGAAUGGUGUUUCUUUCCCUCAAAACAUCUGUUAUUUCUUUCCAACCAUAUUGUCCACAUGAUGCAUAGAGGGGAAGAAACCUCAUGUUAUAACUUGCCGAAACUAAAAAAGACUCUGAACAUUUUACGAUAAGUGGUUCAAAUCAAAAUUGAAGAUCCAAAACUAGCACCACAGCUACGAUUUCAGUUCAUUUUUUUUUUUUUAGAAGGAACGAUUUCAGUUCAGUUACUAUAUGUUUGCUUAUAACUACCAUCUUAGAUAAACUAUGUGCCUUUAGAACCCCCCCAACCCAAAUUCAAAAGAUUAUAUUUUAAGUCUGGGUUUGUCAUUUAAGGACCUCUUAAAGGAAAUAAGUUAUCAGAUGAAUGAACAGAGCAAAAAGGGCUGAGCCCCUAUCUGCAAUAAACCAAAACAGAGGCUCACUAGACUGCUCAUCUCCUCACAUUGUUCAUGAAGUCAUAUCGUCAAGUGUUAAUCCAUCCACUCCAUGUACAUGUUCCGCUCCAUAAUUUUUUCCAAAAUAUAGGCCUCAAGUCUUAAUAUAUCAAGUUAGAUAAGUUUCAAGUAAAGAUAUUGAAACCUGAUAUGGUCAUCUGUUUCCACUACCAUCAUAGUAUAUGGCCUCAACAACACUAUAAGCUUGUUAAGAAAGUAUUCACCACCAUCAUGUGUUAGGCAUCGGCAAUCAUAGAAGCAUGUGAAUUUUCUUUGUUGAAAACAUACGCCAAACGGGAUCCAGCUCAAGAUGGUCC
rnacentral:lncRNA from 1 species